GAGUGAAACCUCGGUCCGGCUGGGCUAUUGAUCCCUUUGGACACUCACCAACAAUGGCUUAUCUUCUAAACCGUGCUGGACUUUCUCACAUGCUUAUCCAGAGAGUUCAUUAUGCAGUUAAAAAACACUUUGCACUGCAUAAAACAUUGGAGUUUUUUUGGAGACAGAAUUGGGAUCUGGGAUCUGUCACAGAUAUUUUAUGCCACAUGAUGCCCUUCUACAGCUAUGACAUCCCUCACACUUGUGGACCUGAUCCUAAAAUAUGCUGCCAGUUUGAUUUUAAACGUCUUCCUGGAGGCAGAUUUGGUUGUCCCUGGGGAGUCCCCCCAGAAACAAUACAUCCUGGAAAUGUCCAAAGCAGGGCUCGGAUGCUACUAGAUCAGUACCGAAAGAAGUCAAAGCUUUUUCGUACCAAAGUUCUCCUGGCUCCACUAGGAGAUGAUUUCCGCUACUGUGAAUACACGGAAUGGGAUUUACAGUUUAAGAAUUAUCAGCAGCUUUUUGAUUAUAUGAAUUCUCAGUCCAAGUUUAAAGUUAAGAUACAGUUUGGAACUUUAUCAGAUUUUUUUGAUGCGCUGGAUAAAGCAGAUGAAACUCAGAGAGACAAGGGCCAAUCGAUGUUCCCUGUUUUAAGUGGAGAUUUUUUCACUUAUGCCGAUCGAGAUGAUCAUUACUGGAGUGGCUAUUUUACAUCCAGACCCUUUUACAAACGAAUGGACAGAAUCAUGGAAUCUCAUUUAAGGGCUGCUGAAAUUCUUUACUAUUUCGCCCUGAGACAAGCUCACAAAUACAAGAUAAAUAAAUUUCUCUCAUCAUCACUUUACACGGCACUGACAGAAGCCAGAAGGAAUUUGGGACUGUUUCAACAUCAUGAUGCUAUCACAGGAACUGCAAAAGACUGGGUGGUUGUGGAUUAUGGUACCAGACUUUUUCAUUCGUUAAUGGUUUUGGAGAAGAUAAUUGGAAAUUCUGCAUUUCUUCUUAUUUUGAAGGACAAACUCACAUACGACUCUUACUCUCCUGAUACCUUCCUGGAGAUGGAUUUGAAACAAAAAUCACAAGAUUCUCUGCCACAAAAAAAUAUAAUAAGGCUGAGUGCGGAGCCAAGGUACCUUGUGGUCUAUAAUCCUUUAGAACAAGACCGAAUCUCGUUGGUCUCAGUCUAUGUGAGUUCCCCGACAGUGCAAGUGUUCUCUGCUUCAGGAAAACCUGUGGAAGUUCAAGUCAGCGCAGUUUGGGAUACAGCAAAUACUAUUUCAGAAACAGCCUAUGAGAUCUCUUUUCGAGCACAUAUACCGCCAUUGGGACUGAAAGUGUAUAAGAUUUUGGAAUCAGCAAGUUCAAAUUCACAUUUAGCUGAUUAUGUCUUGUAUAAGAAUAAAGUAGAAGAUAGCGGAAUUUUCACCAUAAAGAAUAUGAUAAAUACUGAAGAAGGUAUAACACUAGAGAACUCCUUUGUUUUACUUCGGUUUGAUCAAACUGGACUUAUGAAGCAAAUGAUGACUAAAGAAGAUGGUAAACACCAUGAAGUAAAUGUGCAAUUUUCAUGGUAUGGAACCACAAUUAAAAGAGACAAAAGUGGUGCCUACCUCUUCUUACCUGAUGGUAAUGCCAAGCCUUAUGUUUACACAACACCGCCCUUUGUCAGAGUGACACAUGGAAGGAUUUAUUCGGAAGUGACUUGCUUUUUUGACCAUGUUACUCAUAGAGUCCGACUAUACCACAUACAGG
rnacentral:circRNA from 1 species